CAACCAGGUCGGACGGUCGCGCGGGCUUGGCCCGUGAGGAAAGUCCGAGCUCCGCAGGGCAGGGUGCUGGGUAACACCCAGCGGGGGCGACCCCAGGGAAAGUGCCACAGAAAUCAAACCGCCUGCGCCGGGCGACCGGCGGAGGUAAGGGCGAAACGGUGCGGUAAGAGCGCACCAGCAGUCAGGCGACUGGCUGGCUUGGCAAACCCCACCCGGAGCAAGACCAAAUAGGGGAGAGAUGAGGUGGCCCGCCUUUCUCCCGGGUUGGUCGCUGGAGGCGCCUGGCGACAGGCGUCCAAGAGAGAUGACCGUACACGACAGAACUCGGCUUAUAGACCUGGUUGCUCA
rnacentral:RNase_P_RNA from 1 species